rnacentral:lncRNA from 1 species
GCAGUGUGUGUGGGUGUGUACUGUGUUAUGUGUGUAAUGUGUAUGUAGUUUGUGUGCUGCACGUAGUGUGUUGUGUGUACUGUGUAUGUAGUUUGUGUAUACUGUGUGUAGUAUGUGUGCAGUGUGUGUGUAGUUUGUGUAUGACGUGUGCAGUGUGUGUAAGAUGUGUGUAGUGUGUUGUGUGUGUAGUGUGUUGUGUGUGGUGUGUAUGUAUUUUGUGUGUGUGGUGUAUGUGAUGUGUGUAGUACAUGGUGUGUGUAGUGUGUGUGGUGUGUGUAGUGUGUUGUAUGUGGAGUGUAUGUAGUUUUUGUGUGUUGUGUGUGCAGUGUGUGAUAUGUGUAGUGUGUUGUGUGUGUGGUGUACGUGUAGUUGGUGUGUGUGAUGUGUGUAGUGUCCAUGUAGUACAUGGUGUGUGUAGUGUGUGUAGUGUGUUGUAUGUGGUAUGUAUGUAAUUUGUGUUGUGUGUGCAGUGUGUGUUGUUUGUAGUGUGUUGUGUGUGUGGUGUGUAUGUAGUUUGUGUGUGUGGUGUGUGUGUGAUGUGCAUAGUGUGCGUGUAGUGCAUGGUGUGUGUGUAGUGCAGCUGUGGCAUGUGUUCGUAGUGUGUGUGGCAUGCAUGUAGUGUCCAUGUGGUAUGGAGUGUGUGUGUGUGGUGUAGUGUAUGUGAUGUGUGUGGUGUGUGGUGUACCGUAUGUGAUGUGUGUAGUGCGCAUGUAGUCAUGUGGUGUGUUUCAUGUGUGUUUUGUGUGUAUGUAACGUAGAAUUUGGUGUGUGCGGUGUGUUUCAUGUGUGUGGUGUGUAUGUAGUUUGUGUGUAUGUGUAUGUGUGUGGGGUAGUGUGUGUGAUGUGUGUUGUGUGCAUGCAGUGGUGUGUUUCAUGUCUGUUUUGUGUGUGUAGCAUGUAUGUAGUGUAGCAUGUGAUGUGUGUAGUGUGUUUCGUGUGUGUGGUAUGUAUGUAGUUUGUGUGUUUGGUGUGUGUGAUGUGCAUAGUGUGCAUGUAGUAC